rnacentral:tRNA from 1 species
UCCAGGGUAGCCUAGUGGACAUGGCACCUGCCCGGUAAGCAGAUGGUUGUGGGUUCGAUUCCCGCCCCUGGAC